UAUGCAUUGAAGUUUGCAGAGUGCAUCUUGGGUGGAUUAGCCCUUGAGUUGGAUAACUCAACAUCUGGCGUGAACUCUAUCCGAGAACACAUUGCCGUUUCCAUUUUGGAAAACACAGAUGACUUGAGUAACUUGUGCCAUCUGUGUGGGGAGCAGGAUGGGGACACUCAUUGGAUUGGAUGUGAAUUCUGCCCACGGUGGUUCCACAAAAGCUGUGCCAAAUACAGAGGCCGAAAGGAAUAUAUUUGUGCGGCCUGCCAGUAGCAUGUGUUGCUAUU